rnacentral:lncRNA from 1 species
GGACGUGAUGACACCUAUCACAUUACUAGGCAAGCCAACCCAAAUCAUUAACUGCAACAAAUUCCUUUUAUAAAACCAUUUCCUAACACUGGUUUAAAUACCAGAUGUCCAUAAUAAGUGUUUAAAAUAACAAAAUAUAAGCGGAAGUCAAGUAAACAUAAACUACACAGCCCCAAAUAUCUGGUGUCACGAGUCUAGAGCCUCUACUACAUAACUGACUGUCUAAUACAAUAAAAGUCUAGAAAAAUGCGGAAAAGAACAGGAUAGGAAGGAGAAAACAGGGUUGCGGACGCCAUGCAACUACUUUGAAAUCUCCGGCAACCUUUGGAUCAGCUGAGGACCCUUACUCUGCCACUCGGGCACCUGGAUCUGCACACACGGUGCAAGGAGUAACGUGAGUACGCCAACUCAGUAAGUAACUAAAGUAAAUAAGGUCUGAAAGCAGUGACGAGCUGUUAAAAAUCAUAUAACUGAAUAAACAAUAGGAUAACAAAUCCAUUUUACAGUUUAAAACUAGUUUCGUCGUAAAAUUAUCAACUUCAGUUUAAAAACUUAAAAUCAUAUACUUAGCAAUUUUUCCCGCAGAGGCUAUUUUUAAAAGAAGAGUGAAAUCAGUGAAAAUAUUAUAACUGGGCCCCUUGGGCAUGGUAUGAAUUAGAACAUGGCCUCUCGGGCAGCCUCUCAGUCACUCGUGACUCAUUCUCGUCACUCAGUACUCACUCUCAGCACUCAUGCUCAUUAAUAUCUCAUAAUAAUAGAAAUUAUAGUAACCGCUGAGGCGUGCAGCCUGAUCCGUAAUUUAUAGUCGACUACGCUCACUGGGGGUGUACAGACUCUGGAGGGGCUCCUACAGCCUAAGCGUCAUAUCGCUGCGGCGCGCAGCCUGAUCCAAUACAUAUAUCGCUCCGGCGUUUAGCCCAUACAAUAUAUAUAUCACUGCGGCGUACAGCCCAAUCCAUAUAAGUAUCGCUGCGGCGUGCAGCCCAAUCCAUAAUAUAUACAUAUAAUAUCCUCACUAUUAGGUUCUCAAGCUCUCUCAGUCAUUAACCUCACAGCCUCUCAGGCACAACAAUGGAAAUUAGAGAACUCAACCCAAAUAGUCCUCACAAUUAGAAGUGGAGUGAUAAAACCAGUUUUAAACAUUUAAACAGGUAAAACAUGACUGAUGAUAUGCUUUCAACAAGUAAAGUAAGGAAAAACAGUAAAAAUGCCCCUAAGGGUCUCAACAGGUCGGCACAAGGUCCCAAACAUGGCAUACAGCCUGUAAUACAGUAUAAAUGACUAAAGUACGGAAUAAUAUAAGAUUCCAAAUCAUAUACACGGCUUAAUAGUCGCUACGGGACGAACCAAGUCACAAUCCCUACCAGUGCACGCCCACAUGCUCGUCACCUAGCACGUGCAUCACUACAUUUAUCAAAACAAGUCAAAUACUGGGGUUUGUAUGCUCAGUUCCAGAUUUACAAUAGUUACUUACCUCAAACCAGUGAAAAUACUACUAUGCGACGCCUUUGACCCUCAAAUCGGCCUCCACUCGCGUCGAAUCUAUCCAAAAUCAGAAUCACGAUGUCAAAUAUGCUAAGGGAACGAAGCCCAAGAAAAACAAUCAAAUAAUACCAAAAAUUCCGAAAUUGGCCAAACCCGACCCUUGGGCCCACAUCUCAAAACUUGAUAAAAAUUUCAUCAAUGGAAUCUUUAUCCUCCCACGAGUCCAUACAUACCAAGAACACUGAAAUCGGAGUCCAAAUGACCCCUCAAAUUUACAUUUAAAGUCUCUUAAUCUCAAGCCCUAAUUCCUCAAUUUUAGGCUUAAUUUCCAUGAUUAUUUAGAUGGAAUUCACAUUAGAAUCGNNNNNNNNNNNNNNNNNNNNNNNNNNNNNNNNNNNNNNNNNNNNNNNNNNNNNNNNNNNNNNNNNNNNNNNNNNNNNNNNNNNNNNNNNNNNNNNNNNNNNNNNNNNNNNNNNNNNNNNNNNNNNNNNNNNNNNNNNNNNNNNNNNNNNNNNNNNNNNNNNNNNNNNNNNNNNNNNNNNNNNNNNNNNNNNNNNNNNNNNNNNNNNNNNNNNNNNNNNNNNNNNNNNNNNNNNNNNNNNNNNNNNNNNNNNNNNNNNNNNNNNNNNNNNNNNNNNNNNNNNNNNNNNNNNNNNNNNNNNNNNNNNNNNNNNNNNNNNNNNNNNNNNNNNNNNNNNNNNNNNNNNNNNNNNNNNNNNNNNNNNNNNNNNNNNNNNNNNNNNNNNNNNNNNNNNNNNNNNNNNNNNNNNNNNNNNNNNNNNNNNNNNNNNNNNNNNNNNNAAACCUUCUGCCCAGGCCUAAAAAUCCUUCUUCGCGAACACGGUCAAACGCCUCACGUUCGCAAAACACAAAAAUAACCUUGACCAAAUUCCUCUUUCGCGAUCGCGACCACCACAUCGCGAACGCAAUGCUUUACUCAUACAGGCCUUCACGAUCGCGUCCCCCCUAUUGUGAACGCGAUGAACAAAGCCCCCCUGAAGCUCAGCUACCCUUUUUGCUCUAUGCGAACACAACUCCUCCCCCGCGAACGCGAUGUACAAACAUUUAGCCUUUCGCGAACGCAUAGCCAUCCUCGCGAACGCUAAGGCUUAAAUUCCACCUUCCUCAACUGACUCUUCGCGAACGCGAGGGUCCACUCGCGAACGUGAAGAGUAAAAUACCUGCAACAGCUGAACAGAAAUCUGCAGCUUUUCUAUAACUCAAAAUGGUCCGUUCAACCCUCCGAAACUCACCCGAGGCCCCUGGGACCUUAACCAAAGGCACCAACAUAUCCCAAAACCUUAUUCAAACUUGUACCAAUCUUCAAAACACUUCAAACAACAUCAAAUCGACCAAAACAUAUAAGAUUUAAGCCUAAUUUUCCAAAAACUUCUAAAUUCCGCUUUUGAUCAAAAACCCGACCAAACUACGUCCGAAUGACCUAAAAUUUUGCACACACAUCCUAAACGACACAACGGAACUACUGAAAACUCUCAGAAUUCCAUUCCGACUCCUAUAUCAAAAUCUCACCUAUCAACCGGAAAUAGCCAAAAAUCUGAUUUCGCCAAUUCAAGCCUAAAUCUACUCCGAACCUCCAAAACUCAUUCCGAUCACGCUCCUAAGUCCCAAAUCACCUCCCAAAGCUAACCAAACCAUCGGAACUCACAUCCGAGCCCUCUAACACACAAGGCAACAUCCGAUUGACUUUUUCAACUUAAACUCACUCUAAAGAGACUAAGUGUCUCAAACCUUAUCAAAUCCUUUCUGAACUCGAUCCGACUAACCUGAUACCACAUAACAUGGAUAAACCAAAGAAUAAAGAAGCAGAAAUAGGGGAAAUGGAGCGGUAACUCAUGAGAUGACUGGACGGGUCGUCACAUCCUCCCCAACUUAAACAAACGUUCAUUCUCGAAUGAGUCAAGAAACAUACCUGAAGCCUCAAACAAGUAAGGAUAUCUGCUCCGCAUCUCCCGUUCGGUCUCCCAAGUAGCCUCCUCCACGGGCUGACCUCUCCACUGCACUUUCAUUGAAGCUAUAUCUUUGACCUCAACUUUCGAACCUGACGACCUAAAAUAGCUACUAGCUCCACAUCAUAGGUCAAAUCAUCAUCCAACUGGACCGUGCUGAAAUCCAGAACAUGAGACGGAUCCCCAAUAUACUUCCGGAGCAUAGAAACAUGAAAUACCGAAUACACACUCGACAAGCUGGGUGGAAAAGCAAGCUCAUAAGCCACUUUCCCAAUCCUCUGAAGCACCUCAAAAUGCCCAAUGAACCGAGGACUCAAUUUCACUUUCUUCCCAAAUCUCAUAACACCCUUCAUGGGUAAAACCUUCAACAAAACCUUCUUGCCAACCAUGUAGGACACAUCUCGAACCUUCAUGUCAGCAUAAUUCUUUUGCCUCGACUUUGCAGUACGAAGCCUCUCCUGAAUUACCUUCACCUUUUCUAAAGCAUCCUGUACCAGGUCUAUCCCCAAUAGCCUAGCCUCACCGGGUUGAACCAACCAACUGGAGAUCUAUACUACCUCCCAUACAAAGCCUCAUACGGAGCCAUCUGAAUACUUGACUAGUAGCUGUUGUUAUAAGCAAACUCUGCAAGCAGUAGAAACUGAUCCCAUGACCCUUUGAAAUCAACUAUACAAGCAUGCAACAUGUCCUCCAAAACGUGAAUGGUGUGCUCGGACUGUCCGUCCAUCUGAGGGUGAAAAGCUUUGCUCAACUCAACCUGAGUACCCAACUCUCGCUGCACAGACCUCCAAAACUGUGAUGUGAACUGAGUGCCCCUAUCUGAAAUGACGGAAACUGGGACACCAUGCAACUGAAAAAUCUCCCGGAUAUAGAUCUCUGCCAACCGCUUUGAAGAAUAAGUAGUACACACAGGAAUGAAGUGCACGGACUUGGUCAGCCGAUCCACAACCACCCAAAUAGCAUCGAACUUCCUCAGAGUUCGUGGAAGUCCAACAACAAAGUCCAUAGUGAUCCUCUCCCACUUCCACUCGGGAAUAUCCAUCUGCUGAAGCAAGCUACCCGGUCUUUGAUGCUCAUAUUUCACCUGCUGACAAUUGAGACACCGAGCUACAAAUCCCACAAUGUCUUUCUUCAUUCUUCUCCACCAAUAAUGCUGCCUCAAAUCCUGAUACAUCUUCGCGACACCCGGGUGAAUGGAAUACCGCGAUCUAUGGGCCUCCUCCAGAAUCAACUCCCGAAGCCCAUCUAUAUUGGGCACACAAAUCCGCCCCUGCAUCCUCAACACCCAAUCAUCACCAAUAGUCACAUCUCUGGCAUCAUCAUGCUGAACUCUGCCCUUAAGGACAAGCAAAUGCGGAUCAUCAUACUGGCGCUCUCUGAUGCGAUCAUAUAAAGAAGACAGAGAAACCACACAAGCCAAUACCUGACUGGGUUCCGAAAUAUCUAACCUCACGAACCAAUUGGCCAAGGUAUGAACUUAAACUGCAAGAGGUCUCUCCCCAACUGGAAUAUAUGCCAAACUCCCCAUACUCACUGCCUUUCGGCUCAAAGCAUCGGCCACCACAUUGGCCUUCCCCGGAGGGUACAAUAUAGUGAUAUCAUAAUCCUUAAGCAACUCCAACCACCUCCACUGCCUCAAAUUGAGAUCCUUCUACUUAAACAAGUGUUGGAGGCUACGAUGAUCAAUAAACACCUUACAAGACACACCAUAUAAGUAAUGCCUCCAAAUUUUCAAUGCGUGAACUAUGACAGCCAACUCCAAAUCAUGAACGGGGUAGUUCUUCUCAUGGGGCUUUUACUGACGAGAAGCAUAAGCAAUAAUUCUACCCUCCUGCAUUAAUACAAAACCAAUGCCAACUCUCAAAGCAUCACAAUACAUGAUAUAUGAACCUAAAGCUGAUGGCAAAACUAACACUGAAGCUGUGGUCAAAACUGUCUUGAGCUUCUGAAAACUCUCCUCACACUCAUCCGACCAUACAAAUGAAGCACCCUUCUAAGUUAACUUGGUCAAGGGCGAUGCGAUAGAUGAGAAUCCCGGAACAAACUGGCAAUAAUAACCCGUCAAACCAAGAAAGCUGCGAAUCUCUGUGGCUAAGGACGGUCUGGGCUUACUCUGAACCGACUCUAUCUUCUAAGGAUCAACCUGAAUACCCUCACUGGACACCACGUGUCCCAAGAAUGUCACUGAACUGAGCCAAAACUCACACUUGGAGAAUUUUGCAUAAAUCUUCUCCUCCCUCAAUCUCUGCAACACAACUCUCAAAUACCUCGCGUGCUCCUCCUGACUAUGCGAAUACACCAGAAUAUCAUCAAUGAAGAUUAUGAUAAAUGAAUUGAGAUAAGGCCGGAACACGCUAUUCAUCAAAUGCAUGAAUGCUGUUGGGGCAUUGGUCAGCCCAAAUGACAUCACCAAGAACUCAUAAUGACCAUAUCGGGUCUUGAAAACUAUNNNNNNNNNNNNNNNNNNNNNNNNAUAGCCACUAUGACUGUCUUGGCAUGACAGUCCAGAAUAGUAUGACACAGAGAUAACUAAUUCAUGGCCAAAAUGAUAUCGAAAUCCACCAUACACAAUAAUAAAAGAUCCACUCGGGUCUCCAGACCCCCAAUAGUCACCACACACGACCGGUACACACGGUUUACAACAACGAUAUUGCCCACUAGAGUAGAUAUAUGAACAAGUGAAACAAGAGACUCACGGGGCGUAUCCAGAUAACGGGCAAAGUAUGAUGACACAUAAGAAAAGGUGGAACCGGGAUCAAAUAAUACAGAGGCAUCUCUGUGGCAGACUAAAACAAUACAUGAAAUCACAGCAUCUGAAGCAACAACAUUUGGUCUACUUGGGAGGGCAUAGAAAUGGGCCUGACCACCACCUAAUCGACCUCCCCCUCUAGGGCGACCCCUAGGUGACUGACCUCCACCCCUAGCUGGGUGGGUGGGUGGUGAAGUAACUGGAGCAGAAGUCAAGGGCUAACCCCUCUGCUAAGACUGACCAUCAUGAAGACGAGGACACUGCCUCCUCAUAUGCCCAAACUCUCCACACUCAUAAUAACUCCCCAGUGCUGGAGAUGGGGACUGAAGGGAACCCCUAGCACCGGGAUAACCAGUAGAAGGACCUGGCAUGAAAGAACCCUGCACUGAUGGAGCACGGGAUGAACUCUGGGAUGGAAAGGCACUGAGUGAUGAGUGGCCCUGAUGAGAACUAUGAGACCCAUGACCUGAUGAUACCCUACGUUAACCUGGGCGAGCUGAAUGAGCCUGUCUGAAUGGGCGACCUCUACCCUGCUGUAACUAGCCCCUCGAAGGAGCACCACUAAAGCUACCAGAUCCCCGAGGCCUCUUGGCUCCUUCUCCUCUCGCUCCUGGUAGCGAACCGACUCAAUCUCACGGUCGAUGGCAAUAACCUCCUCAAGAGUAGCACCUGUCACUCUAUCCCUAGUCAUGAUAAUCCGAAGCUGAUAUGUGAGACCAUCAACAAACCUCAUAAUCCUCUCUCUAUCUAUCGGAACCAACCAGACCGCAUGACGAGCUACCUCAAAGAACCGCAUCUCAUACUGUGUCACAAUCAUCUCUCCCUGACGCAACUACUCGAACUGCCUACGUAGAUCCUCUCAGUGAGAUUGUGGCACAUACUUCUCCAAAAAGAGAAUAGAGAACUACUACCAUGUAAGGGGCGCUGUACCAACAUGCCUACGCCUCUCAUACGCCUCCCACCAAGUGAAGGCAGCCCUAGAAAACUAAAAGGUGGUAAAAGCUACACCACUGGUCUCUAGUGAUCGAUUCUUUCUUUUCACAAUCCCAUUGGAUUGAGGUGUGUAAGGGGCCGUUGUUUGAUGAAUAAUUCCAUAUUCUAAACAUAUAUCUUCAAAAAGAGAUUCGUUUCACCACCCCUAUCACUUCUUAUCAUUUUGAUUUUCUUGUUAAGUUGCAUUUCAAUUUCAUAUUUGUUUUGCUUGAAUGCAUCUAUUGCUUCAUCUUUACUAUUAAGUAAGUUAACAUAGCAAUAUCGAGUACUGUCAUCAAUAGAAGUUAUGAAAUACUUCUUUCCCAUAAAAAUGGUCUCAUCGGGUCUAGCAGGAGCAUAUGAAGCAAAUGCUUCUCUAACUACACAAACAUGGCGGGUGGCACCAGAAUCAAUCCACCACUCCUUAGGAUUACCCAUUAAGUUGCAUUCAGACAACAUAGCGCACAAGUCAUCAAUAUCAUCAUUUGUUUCAACCAUAUUUGCUUGACUCUUUUUUCUUCUCUUUCUUUGGAGCAUGACAUUAUGUAGCUGUGUGUCCAAUCUUUCCAUAGUUGUAGCAGUUUCCCUAUAAUUGUUUCUUGCUAGGAUAGUUGUUUGGUCCAAAAAACUUUUUCUGCUUCUUCGGAUUAGUUGGAGCAGUUUCAACAAUAUUUGCUUCUAUAAUUUUUGAGUUCCCACUUGUCUUCUUUUCUGCAGCUUUAUUAUCCUCUUCAAUCCUCAAUCGAAUGAUGAGAUCUUCGAGUUUCAUUUCCUUGCGCUUGUGUUUCAAGUAGUUCUUACAGUCCUUCCAUAACGGAGGCAACUUCUCAAUCAUUGCUGCAAUUUGAAAUGCCCCAUUAAUGACCAAAUCUUCAAUGAAAAAUUCGUAAUUAGUAACAAAAUUAAUACUUUCAACAAAAGCAUUAAUUCAGAUUAUACCUUCAGCAAGAAGAUCAUGAAUUAUAACUUGCAACUCUUGAACUUGGGUAAUGACAGGCUUGCUUUCGACCAUCUUAUAGUCCAAAAUCUUGGCUACAACAAACUUCUUCAAAUCGGCAUCCUCAGUUUUAUACUUCUUUUCCAAUACAUCCCGUAGUUCUUUAGAAGUUUCUGUAUUACUAUAAAGAUGAUCCUCUAGUCCGCUAAGAAUGUAAUUCUUGCACAAGAAAUCUGAGUGCUUCCAUGUCUCAGUCACAAUAAAACGUUCAUUAUUAGGAGUUGAUUUCGGCAGAACCGUAACGUCCUCCUUGAUGAACUUCUGUAAACUCAAAAUAGUCAAAUAGAAGAACAUAUUCUAUUGCCAACGUUUGAAAUCAAUCCCGAAAUUUUUUUCGGGCUUUUCCACCGGAGCUGGUGGUGGCACAGAACGACUAGAAGUAGCAACAUUGCUCGUAGAGUCAACCAUAGGGGUUACUAUUUCUGUCAUUUCUAUUAAUCACAAAACAAAAACAAAUUUAAUUAACGGUGAAGUAUUUAAAAUCUUCAAACCGAAUAACUUUAAUAGAAACAGAUCAAAUACCAUGGUGAAGAUUUUAUUUCUUCAAACCGAAUACAGAAUGAGUGGAAAAUUACAAAGAUUUUAAUCUCAUAAUGUCAAUCAAGGAGUAGAAAAUACGAUGAUUUUAGUCUCCAAACUGAGAGUAGAAAUCACUAGGAUUUAGUCUCCCACAAACAGAAUAUAAGAUGAAUACAAAAAAAAUAAUUAAGUUCCUUAAGCUUGUUAGUAAUCUGUAUUCGAAUAUUUAAAAAAUAAAAAAUGCUAUAAAAGCAGAAAUGCAGAAGAACAGAAUUAUUCCGAGCCCACUGAUUCACAGUGUUUCCUUAAGGAAAUUAAUCCCCUCCUAGUACCUGAGGUUUAGGAUUAUUUCCUUAUAGGAUAGAAUAAAUUACCCUCACUGAUGUAGUGGUACUUCAAACCCCAGAAAUAAUGAACGCAAAGAACAGUAAUAAACUACACUUACUGCUUUCUUUUCUAUUAAAACAAUGCAGAAAGAAGAAGGAGAAAUCAGAAUUUUCUUAAGGAAAAUUUGAGGGAAAGUUCAUGUAUUUAUAGCCAAAACGUUGGGUUAUACUAAAGAGUUACAACUCUUCAUGUAAGGUUGCAACUCAAAAUGUGUUUUUUAUAAAACCUCCAUUUAUGCAAACUGCCAAAUUCAAAUUAUAACGAGAAAAUUAAAACGGAGGAAAAUUGAAUUAUCAUUACAAUAAUGAUCUAAUUUGGAUUAAUUAAUAUUGUGUUAAUAUUAAUAAAUAAAUUUGGUACAAAAAAUUUAUCAAUCAAAUCAUUUGACUAAAUCCGAAGUCGAAGCCGAGUUGAGCGAGCGACGAUGACAAUGGCGCGAGGCUUGCCUUUUUCUCUACUCUUUAAGAGCUAGAAGAAGAACAAUUGUAUAUAUAUCCAUCAAUUGUCAAUGAGGGAAAAUCAAAAUUUUAUUUUUCCCUCCAUUUCCCAUUCACCCUCUUUUAAGCUCUAAGAAGCUUAAACCCAACAAUUAUGUUAUUGCCAAACUGAAGAGGUAUGAGGUACAGUUAAACCUUUCUAUAACAGUCUCAUUUGUUCCGAAUUAUUUAGUUGUUAUAGUGAAGCACAUAUAUUAUAACAUAGCAUGGAAAUUAGUUCCAUAAAAUACUUGGCUUUUAUAGUGAAUGAUUGCUAUAUAACGAUACUGCUAUAAAGAGGUCUGGCUAUAGGUAGUUGUAGCUUUUUUUACGUAAUGAACAUAUUUAUCAAACAAAACUAUUUAAGAGUUGCUACAUAGGGAGACUAACCCCGACAAUAUCGUACUCACACCGUCUCGUUUAAAACAGGAACAACAAAAGUAGGUGGUAUAUGAUAGAGUUUGGAACCUAAAUAUGGUCUUUUUGGAUUCAAAAGACCGAAAUAAGUGGAAAAAACUUAGUGACCAAAAUAUAUAUAACGCCCUUUUAAAGGGCGCUAUACCUUAACUUCCGUUUUGGACGUUAAGAUAUAGAGCCUUUUAAAAGAGACCUAUAUGUAUAACGCCUUUCAUAAAGGUGCUAUGUCUAACAUUGACAAGACUGCUAGGUAUAACGCCUUUAUAAAGGGCACUAUACAUAUUUUGUGGGUCCACCAAUAACUCUUCUGCGCUUAACUGACAUAACAAUAAUUCAAAUGGGUAUGGCUCCCUUUUAAAGGGCGCUAUACCUAAAAAAAUUUGACCCCCCGGAUUGGGCAUUUCCUUAUUUAAAGGCGUUAAGGAUUGUGCAAAAAUCCAUUCAGAAAUAUUCUCAACUCCUGUUAAAUUUUUCUUCUUGUUAAAUUCUCAAGCAUUUUGUCAUAAUGUCUGAAGAGCAAAAAGUAAGGGUUUCAUUAUAUUGGGGUGGGUGGUGGGUGGGUGAGGUUGUGGUGGUGAACAACUCAGUGAGCUAUAGUUUAUCUCCAUAGAGUCAUGUUAAGUUGCCACUUACAAUAGAGUACGAUAGACUGGUAUCCUUGUUAUAUAAUAAAAUGAGUGUGAGCAAAUGUUCGGUGAACCUUAAAGUAACAUGAAGAUAUCCGUAUUCUGUCACUCCGCAAGGGGUUGCUUGUUACGCUGAGUUUAACAUCGAGGAUGAUGAAGCUUUGAGUGAUUUUUGGAGGACUCCGGAUGAAUACCGGGUAUUUAUUUUGAUAAAAAUGUUGAAAAUGUACGUGAAGGUUGAAGACGUUUGCAAUAAUAAGGUUUCGCAAAGUAGUGAUAACCCUCAGUCAUCGGGUGGUUAUUCUGGAGCAGUUUUUGCCGAAUAGGUUCCGGCUGAAACAGUUUGGCCUAAUUUAAACUUAUCUCCACAAGAGAAUGAGGAGCGAGGAAAUAAUUUCUCUCCUACUUUACAUAAUCCACAAGACGAGUGGUAAACUUCAAUUUUGCUUUGUGUUACGAUAUUUAUUUUUGUUGUAUUGAAUUUGUAUUAACACUCAUAUAUUUCACAGGGGGUACCAUCCAGAUAUGAAUUUUACAAGUUAUGAAUCCACGCCCAGUUGGAGUAUGCGUAGUUUUGGUGUGUUGGAUUAUGAUGGUCCAUCCAGAAAUCAUCACUAACAGGAAAAGGCCCAUUAUGGAAUGUCAACACAUUAUGACUUGUAAGUGAAGUGAUAUAGCUAUAUGUAAAGUCUUUAUCAAUUUGAGUAGAUUAUUAUUUUGUUGUUUGUGCAGUGAAAACAAGCAAGUUCAACCACCUGUCCUGACUCAAUUGUCCGAAGACGACAUAUUUAAUCGGGAUCUGGAAGAUGUACAGAGUCAGGAAGAGAACAAUGAUUAUGACAACAAUGCCGAUGAUUCCGGAGAUGACACACCCUUCCCUGAUGAGGGUGGUGAUGAGGAGGAAGAGAAUGAUGGACCUGAUUUGACGAGGGAGCAUGCUCCACACCCCGUUAGACCAAGAGUGUACGAGUCUCACGUGUCAUUUCAUUCAAGGCAUAUUCCCUACUUUGAUCAUUUGCCAAGUAUGCCGGAUUUGGAUGCCCUCACAAGGGAUUUUAAUGAAAUUCGGAUAGCAAUGUGGGAUGAGUCUAGACCAAAGGUGCUGGCAAAGGGCAUGCUAUUUCCUGAUAAAACGCGUCUAAGCAGGGCGGCAAAAAUGUACAAUGUAAAAGAGUGUCGUGAGAUGAUCGUAUGGGAGUCAAGUCUGGAUAUAUACAAGGUUGUUUGUCAUAGAUGAUUUACGAGUUGUCAUUGGAUGUUGCGUGCGAGUAAGAAGAAAACAGGUAUGUAGAAAGUGGGUAUCAUUGGCACCCACACUUGUGAAAUGGACAUAUUCAAUGGAAUCACUUCAUCUUGGAUGUUGGAUUGAUUUCUCUUGUCUGAUUCCCCACAUAUUGAAGCGUCCAUAAGGUACAAGAUCAAAGGGAACAUCUGUUCACCAGGAAUAUGGCCAUAUCAUUACCAAAAGAAAGGCAUUUCUCGGGCACAAACGUGUGUUUGAAAUUGUUUAUGGUAACUGAGAUAAGUCAUUUGCAGCUCUACCCAAGUACAUAAGGAGUAGCAACAACCUCAUGUACUGGUGAAUAUGUAGAUCCGGUGUAUCGCCAGUGAUGUCAGGGUGCAAUAUCUCCAAAUAGUCUCGAAUAGUCGUCAACUGCAGACGACUGGCCCCAACCAGUGCAUUCUCAUUCUGUGGCCGGAAACCAGUGAGCUGCUGCUGCAUGGCCAGGUACUGCCCACCUAUCAUCUCUCUCAUGGCUUGUGGCAAAGCAACGGGGUGUCCAUCAAUAGGCAACCCAUAUAUAACCUCCAUGUCCUACAGUGUGAUGGUGGCCUCACCAAUGGGCAAGUGGAAUAUGUGCGUCUCUGGUCGCCACUGUUGUAUCAGGGUCGUGACCAAAGACCAAUCGAGCUACAGCUGCCCGAUCUCCAAAAUCUUGUAGAAGCCCGUAUCCUGCAGGCGUCUGACUACACAAGGAUGGAAAACUUUGCCUUCAAAAAGUACCACAUUUCAUCCACUCUCCUAAUGCGGAGAGUCUAGGCAAGUAACUCUCCCUUCCAUAUGUAGGCUGAUGGGUUUUCAAGGUCUUUGCCUUAUGCUUCUUAUGUUUUAAUGAUAUAACAAACUUGUUGUGAAGAACCAGAUAGAGAACCUAGCCCACAUGGUAUACAUUUCAACUGACCUGGUCUAAGUCUGAAAAUCAGGAAAUGAAUGAACGACCACAAGGACCUGGAGACCUGGUCCCUUAGGGUUCUCCAACACAAAUACAAGUCAGUUACUGUCCGCAAUCAUUAUAAAGAGGAACACAACAGGGACCUGGUCCCUUUGGGUUCUCGGACAGCAGUACAAGUCACUGUACAAUUGGAAAAUAGCAGUAGAAGGUGACCAUCUUGCAACUGUUACAGAAGAGGAACACAACUAGGACCUGGUUCGUUAGUGUUCUCUGACAGAAGUACAGGUAGACUAUCCAGCUGGAACGCAACUGCAAAGAAGUGGUUGUACAGACAGUACAUUAGUCACUUCUCAUUAGGAAGAAUCGUGUACCAAGAAUUGACAUCACUAUCUAUUGUGAUGUCUUUUGUGAUAUAACAACUUGGUGCAAGGCACAACAUCUUUUGUGCAUUCAGUGAUACUCUCUCAAGCAUAACAGUGUUUAUCCGACAUUGAAGUCACUAGUGUGUUAAGAACAAGAAGACAACUCCACUACGGAUCAGUUUCUAAAAGAGUUUAUGUACAUCCGUAGUUGAAUUGUAAUCUUGUUAUUUGCUCUUCAUUGUAUUUCCUAGUUUGCUUUCUUAGAAGCUUUGUCCUAGGAAAAAAUCAAAAAUCCGUGAACUUCUGAGUUUAUGUUGUGACUAGGAAUAGUCAUAAGUUUAAAGCCUUUGUGACUAGGAGAUUUAUAAAGUGGCUUGAGGUGAGAGCAUCACAAGUUAGUUGAAGUCUUUGUAAUAGGUUUAUUGCAAAGUGGCUUGUAAUAGGGAGAUUGCAAGUUAGUAAAGUUAAAAGCCUACAAGAGUAGGUCGUGGUUUUUUAUCCCCUUGUGUGGGAUUUUUCCACGUAAAAAUCCCUUGUCUUCUUUACUUUCAGUUUCUAUAGCUUUCUUAGCAUUAUCUCAUAUAGGACCAGGUACUCUACAGUUUGGUGGACUCAUAUAAACUAAUAAUUGGUAUUAGAGUAGGUUCUUUCUAAAAGGUUAACACCUAGAAAGGAUCUCAAUGGCUGCUCUACCCAACUUUGAGGAAGGACAAUCAACCUACAGACCUCCCAGAUUCAAUGGUCAGUACUAUGACUGAUGGAAGACCCGCAUGCAUGAUUUUAUGAUGGCGGAAGAUUCAGAACUGUAGGACAUCAUUUGUGAUGGUCCACAUGUCCCCAUGAAGAAGCUUGAAGAAACAUGACUAAUGGUGCCAAAAGGCAGAAAAGAGUAUAACAACAUUGACAGAAAAGCUGUAGAAAAAAACUACCGUGCCAAGAAAAUCUUGAUGUGUGGCAUAAGACCUGAUGAGUACAACAAAGUCUGAGCUUGUGACACUGCCAAAGAAAUAUGGAAAGCAGUGCAAACCGCACAUGAAGGAACUACUCAGGUCAAACAGUCCAAGAUCGACAUGCUCACCACGGAAUAUGAGCUCUUUAGGAUGAAGGAUGAUGAGUCUAUACAGGAUAUGCACACCAGAUUCACCUCCAUCAUAAAUGAGCUUUAUUCACUUAGAGAUGUCAUUCCCAGAAACAAGCUUGUAAGGAAAAUCCUAAGUGUUCUACGUGGUUCUUGGGAAAGUAAGGUAAAUGCCAUUACUGAAGCUAAAGAUCUACAGACUCUAACUAUGGAUGAGUUGAUUGGUAAUCUGAAGACAUACGAGAUGAAAAGAAAUAAAGAUAGUGAAAGAGAGCCUAAGAAGGAAAAAGACCUGGUACUCAAAGCUGAAAGCAGUGACUCAAGUGAUGAAGAUAGUGACAUGGCCUAUCUUACUAAGAGAUUUCAAAAGAUGGUUCGAAGAAAUGGUGGUAUACCAAAGUGGGGCAGUUCAAGUAAAGCAAGGAACAACGAUCUCUAUCACAGAUGUGGAAAGCUAGGGAAUUUCAUCAAAGACUGCUCACUCGCGAAACAUGAGCAAUACAAAUAGAAUCCUGAUAAAGCAGAAAAAGGAACCUGGUUCUACACAAAUGAUUCAAUCGAAAAAGUGCUACUGACAAUAUUUUUAAGCAAGCUCUUGCUGCUUGGGGAGACUCCUCUAGUGAAUCCGAAAGGGAACUAGAUGCAGAAAACAGUUCCAUGAUGGCAGUGGAAACUGAAGCAACGAAGUAUGAUUCACUGUUCGUAUUGAUGGCUCAGUCUGAUGAUGAUGAAGAAGAUGAAGACGAUGAGGUAAACUUCAGGGAUGUUCAGAGAAAUCUGAAAUCCAACUCUUCUAAGAAGCUAAGAUCGUUAGCAAAUAUCCUAAUUGAUGCUUAUUAUAGCCUUGUUAAUGAUAAGGAGACCCUGACCAUAGAACUAGGAGAGAUCGAACAAUCUAGAGAUGAUCUGGUGGUCUGUGUAGUGGACCUAAAUGUGACCGUAACUAAUCUUGAAAAAGAAAAGGAAGCCUUGAAUGAAAAGAUAACUAGUGUGGAAAAUGAGAGAGACGACCUAAUGGUAGUAGUUGUUGAUCUAAAAGAAACUAUAGAAGGUAUUAGCAAUGAGAAACACACCUUAGAAGGAAAAAUUGCAACUACUGAGCAAGAGAGGGAUGACCUUUUAGUGAUAUGCACCGAUCUAGAUGAAACCAUUGGGGGACUCAAUAGAGAACAUAGGAAUGUAAGUCUUGGGAAGGGAAGGAAGUAGCUAGUGAGUCACACAUCAUGCUUGAAAAGGAAUUAACUAUUGUGAAAUCCAGUCUAUGUAGUGAACUCGAGAAGAAUCAGCAACUUCAAGCUGAAUUGGAGAAAGUAAGAAUUGAUUUAAGAAAUCUAUGAAGUGGACAUGGUCCUCAGAUGUUGUCACUGCCAUAUAUCUUAACAAUAGUGGAAACAGGCAGGGCAUCAGGUUCCAAAGGGAGAAAACUCCUUACAACCCUCACAGUAAGUAUGUCACUAUCCCUAAUAACUGGCUAUGUACCCAAUGUGGGAACAAUAGGCAUUUUAAGGAAAAUUGCUAGGACAUGGUUCAGUCUAUUCAGAAAAACAAAGUGUUUACUGAUAAAGUGACUACUAACAAGGGACCAGGUACCACUCGCAAGAAGCGGAUGUUGCCUACAUGGACUAGGAAAGCCCUUAUUUAUCCUUUAUAUCAUAACAAGGGACCUAAACUAGUUUAGAUUCCUAAAUCUAACCUUUGAUUUGCAUGAGCAGGGAAUAGUAAGAGGAAGCGGACUGCGAUGGACUAUGGACUAUGGAUGUUCUAAGCACGUGACUGAAAAAAUAUCAUGAAUCUUUUCUCACUGAAAGCCCUGCAGGAAGGGAAUGUAUCCUUAAAAAGAAAGGAGAGGGUACAUUCUCAGUAAAUGUAAAGUUGGAAAGUUCUUUUUUUGGCACUCAGUUAGGAAUGGGUACUAUGCGAAUAGCCUAGAGUACAGGAACCAAUCUGAUAACUGGCCAAGUGGUCUUAGUGGACAAAGGAAAUGGGAGCAUCCACUCGGUCGACUAUGAAUCUCCAAAAGCUAGUGGCAUGAGAUGGGUGAAGUCGGAAAUUUUGGCAUAAAAGAUUAGUGUAUGCAAGCCUCUCAUCUCCGAAUAAAUUAAUUCAGAAGGACCUGGUGCAUGGUCUGCCAAACUCAAGAGUCACCUGGGCACAGGUUCACAAAGCAAAGGAGGAGACUCUCGAGGUGUUAAUGGUUCUUGUCAAGAAGAUUCAAGUGAAAGAAAAAAAAGGGUGGAUCACGCAUAACUUCUCUACACCAAGGACUCCACAACAAAAUGGUAUUGCUGAAAGAAAGAACGAAACUAGAAGAUGUGGCCUGGACAAUGCUCAUCGACUAUGGAUUCGCCAAGAAAUUCUGGGUAAAAGCAGUAAAUACUGCUUUCUACUUGGUGAAUAGGUGUCUGAUCAGGUCCCUCCUGAAUCAAAACCCUCUAUGAGCUGCCAAAUGGAAGAAAAUACCUUCUUGACUAAAAAUGCCAUGUUCUCGACAACGGGAAGGAUCAGCUUGGGAAGUUCAAUGUAAGAGACGAACGAAGGAAUUCUUCUGGGGUACUCUCCACAAAGCAAGGCCACAAAGUCUACAACAAAGGGCACACUAAAUAGAAGGGAGUGCUCAUGGGGAAUUCAACAAGACACCUUCCUCUAGCCAAGGAAGAAACUGUAGUGAUCAAUAUAUGAACCAACUCUAGUCCCUGGGAAAUAUUUGAGGCUUCAAAUAAGGAAGGCUGAUAAAAUGAGUAAGAUGAAGGAGACUGGUGAAAGACAAUGCAACGUCAUCUUCCACUUCUCACAAGGAACCUGGUUUUUCCGUGGAAAGAAAAAGCACUUCUGGAACAGUUUACUUGCCGUGAUCAUGCCUCAUCCCUUAGGGGACAAGGAAGCAAAACUCAAUGGCCUCGUCAACAACUGAAGAAGAAUCUCAAAAAAAGAGUACCAAUCACAUUAAGGUAUGGGAUUAUCCUCUGAGGGUCAAUAUGAAGAAAGGGUUGAUCUGUGGAAAGUCUUGCAAAACAAAAGACCAAAUUCCAGAUAUCCUUGUCAAAGCCUUGAGUAGAGAAUAUUCUGGAUCAAACAAGGUGAAGAUGGGGUCAUAAAAGUCUAAUAAAGAACUUGAUCCUCCAUCAGCUGGCUAUGCAAGACACCGUCAAGUAAAGGUGCCUAAAGUAUUUUCUAACCAAGCCUAACUCACAUCAAUACUGUUGCAGGUAAACACACAUGACGAUCAUAGCAGCUAAAGGUACCGUAUGAACUGCGAGAGAGGAGCUACUGAAACCUUUUUCAAAAGAUUGGUCUGGCAUCAGGUUCCUGUAUCCCAAGUUAGUAGUAAUGUUCUUAUUUUGCAUGCCUUCACAAAACAAUUUUUUUUUUAAAAAAACUCAACUGGCACAUCAUCCGACUUUUCAAAGUCUUCAUGUCAUGUAUUGUCUUUCAAAUCCCUUCAUCCCCUCUGCAUGGUAAUGCUUUUCGACAAACCUACCUCCAUUUUUAGAACUAUUCAGAACCUGUUUCUCUCUCUCAUCUCAUCAUUAGCCCUUCUUCCAAUAAAACUUUCUUUUUCUCUCACAGCAAGUCAUGAACCUUCAUCUCUUUUGUGUAGCUUUGAUCCUCUUUUCAUCUCUCUCUCACUCUACUCAUCUUCCAAUUACUCCUAUAAUGGCAAUCGAACAAUCGCCUCCUUCUCCCACCAAUAACACCACUCCCACUUCCCUAUCAUCCUUGAAAUCAUCCGAGAGCUUCAUUAUUUCACUCCUUCUACUACUUUACCCACUCCUAGCUCCUCCCUCUUCCUACAGUUUUCCCUUUUCUGAUAAACCCUGUUCUCUCUCGCAUUGAAAACACUAUGUCUAGCCAUUCCUUUGAUCUCAUCAACGUACACUCAGGAGGUUUUAGCUCUCAAGUGUUAGAGGUUCCUGAGGAUGAUCCUGACCAAUAUCUGAACUUCUCCAUCCUGGACUUAAUGACUCUCUUAGAGUCACCAGAGAAGGAAGCAACGCAUAACAUCAUGGCUAUCGUUGCUGAGAGUCUGAUGAAUGAAGGAGCGUAUCUAUUAUCUGGGUAUCAAGGGGAAGAAACUCCAUUCCUAAGAGAUGUAAAGACCACAGUACUCCUUGAGUCUUUGGCUCAUGAGACGUUCUUAGAAAAACCUUCUGAAGAACUUGAUUCUCUUCCAUGUGAACCCACUCCUGCACCUCCUGAUCAUUCUAAGCUCAUAGAAUCCUCCUCCAAGUCACCCACUAUCAGGUCACAACAGUAAGAGAGUUUUGAGUCCACAUUACAGAAAUGUAAGAGGAGUGUCAAGAAAAGAAAAAAGAGGAUAACUAAUCAAAGGGAAUUUGUCACUAACAAGAGUGUUCCAGUAGGUGGAAUUGACAAAAAUGCUCCAAGGGAAUCUGGUUCCCUAGUACAACAAUCUUUGAAAGCUCGAAAGUCUGUGGAUAAAGCUUCUGAUGAAACUAUUGAGCAACAAAAAUGGUCAUCCGUGAAGGGUAUCAUCAAGUCUAAAAGGAGUCAAACUGAACAAGUUAUGUCUGAAGAUGAUACUGUGGGGAUAGUGAGCUGGAAAGGAAAGUCUGUUGAAGGGUCUAGCAAAUGAAAACGGUAAACUAUUCAAGAACCUGGUUCAUUGAGGACCAUGCCCUAUGAUAGUGGUCUUUGGCAGUAGAGAUUACGAACUCAGAAAGUCUUUUGGGGUCAUACAUUUGAUCCAACAAUUUCGGAGAUGGCCAGUAUGAGGCAAAUUCUGGAGAUUGUGGAAUUUCAACAAUGGGAACACCUGUUUGAAAGGAGCAUGCCUUUGGUGUACGAAGAUGUGGUACAAACGUUUUACGCAUCUCUCUUUACUUUUGAGGGGGAUCACAUUUGUGCGCUAGUAAAUAGAGUAGACAUUAUACUCGACGCCUCAAAUUUAGGAAGGAUUCUUAAAAUUUCAUGUGAAGGGAUAUCCUCAGUCAAGGAUGUCUGUGGUGUAAACUUCAGGAGAGGCAUCAUGAAGGAGCAAGCUAUUCAACAGGGGGAACAUGUGCAUAAGAAGGUAUUGCUUCCCGAGUAUCAGCUUCUCUUUGAACUGGUCAAUAAGGUGCUCUUACCUCGUUUUGAGAGGCGAUCUAUUGCUACAAAUCGGAUAUUUUCUUAAUGGAAGCACUUGAUGAGUUUGUCCCAAUCNNNNNNNNNNNNNNNNNNNNNNNNNNNNNNNNNNNNNNNNNNNNNNNNNNNNNNNNNNNNNNNNNNNNNNNNNNNNNNNNNNNNNNNNNNNNNNNNNNNNNNNNNNNNNNNNNNNNNNNNNNNNNNNNNNNNNNNNNNNNNNNNNNNNNNNNNNNNNNNNNNNUUGAGGGCUCGAAAUGCCAUACUGGAAACUCAGCUCAGUCAAGCAGUUAAAGGACCUCAUUCUAUUAAUGAAGAAGUUGCACGACUGACAAAGGAAAAUGAAAGACUUCAGGCACAACUAGUUGAAGAACAACUGUCUGCAAAUGCUCAACUGGACCUGGUUCCCAAAACCAUUGUUGUCUAUUCUUCUAAGCCUUCUUCUUCUAGUGUCCCCUAGGAUCCUCUUAGCGACCAGCUAUUUUUGCUCUAAUCUUUUGUGGCUGCUGUUUUAUUUUUGUUUGCUUUUGUUUUCAUGAUGGCAUGCUGGAAUUCACCAUUACUGCUCCUGUACCGCUUAGUCCAUUGUAAACAUUAAUAAAACAACUCCCCUUUUUGCUUGUACAAUACCGUGUUUCUCUGGCUUCUUUUUCUAUCAUGUUAUGUGCACAUAUGUAGCAUGAGCUAGCUAUGUUAGACUACUUUAUGCUAAAUACCUGCUUGUGCUCUUUUUAAUGAUGCCAAAAGGGGAAAGAAUAGAAUAUAAGAUUCAGGUGGAAAGAUUGAAGGGAACUUUGUGUAGUCAAAAAGUUCUGAGAUUCUGAGCUUAAGGGGGAAUCAAAAAAAAGAGAAAGCUCUGAGAUUAAGGGGGAACCUUGUGUAGUUUCUGGUAUCUUAUCUUGUUAUUUCUGCUAUAAACAAAUACUAUCCAUGCCUAAGUUUGUCAUCAUCAAAAAGGGGGAAAUUGAUGGAUUUUCAAGGUCUUUGCCUUAUGCUUCAUAUAUUUUGAUGAUCUAACAAACUUAUUGUGAAGAACUAGAUAGAGAACCUGGCCCACAUGGUAUACAUUUCAAGUGACCUGGUCCAAGAUUGAAAAUCAGCAAAUGAAUGAACGACCACAGGGAGGAACACAACAGGGACCUGGUGACCUGGUCCCUUAGGGUUCUCCGACACAAAUACAAGUUAGUAACUGUCCGCAAUCAUUAUAAAGAGGAACACAACAGGGACCUGGUCCCUUUGGGGUUCUCUGACAGCAGUAUAAGUCAUUGUACAACUGGAAUGUAGCAGCAUAAGGUGACCAUCUCGCAACUGUUACAGAAGAGGAAUACAACUAGGACCUGGUUCAUUAGUGUUCUCUCACAGAAGUACAGGUAGACUAUCCAGUUGGAACGCAACUACACAGAAGUGGUUGUGCAGAUAGUACAACAGUCACUUCUCAUUGGGAAGAAGCGUGUACCAAGAAUUGAAAUCAUUAUCUAUUGUGAUGUCUUUUGUGAUAUAACAACCUGGUGCAAGGCACAACAUCUUUUGUGCAUUCAGUGACACAACAUCUUUUGUGCAUUCAGUGAUACUCUCUCUAGCAUAACAAUGUUUAUCCGGCAUUGAAGUCACUAGUGUGUCAAGAACAAGAAGACAACUCCACUAAGGAUCAGUUUCUAAAAGAGUUUAUGUACAUCCGUAGUUGAGUUGUAAUCUUAUUAUUUGUUCUUCAUUGUAUUUCAUAGUUUGCUUUCUUAGAAGCUUUGUCUUAGGAAAAAACCAAAAAUCCGUCAACUUUUGAGGUUAUAUUGUGACUAGGAAUAGUCAUAAGUUUAAAGCCUUUGUAACUAGGAGAGUUAUAAAGUAGCUUGUGGUGAGAGCAUCACAAGUUAGUUGAAGUCUUUGUAAUAGGGUUAUUGCAAAGUGGCUUGUAAUAGGGAGAUUUCAAGUUAGUGAAGUUAAAAGCCUACAAGAGUAGGUCAUAGUUUUUUGAUCCCCUUGUGUGGGAUUUUUUUACGUAAAAAUCCCUAGUCUUCUUUAAUUUCAGUUUCUAUAGCUUUCUUAGCAUUAUCUCAUAUAGGACCAGGUACUCCACAGUUUGGUUUACUCAUAUAAACUAACAUGGGCGAACCUAUGAUCGCCCUGUAACGACAAUAGCUCAUCGUUGGAAGGUCCGGGAUGCAUAGGCGGCAACUCCAUGUCGUGUACAGAUAAUUAAACAACUUUAAUUAUGUUAGUUUAAUAUUUUUAUAUGUUUGUUUGUAAAUUAAAUAAUUAAUUUUUAUAAGUAUAUAAUAUUUAAUUAUUAAAUACUCACAUAUGUGUUCCAGGCUCGAUAUUUGAAGCCCAGUAGCACCAAGAUAUCCUAAAUUCUUGUAUGUGUUAGUUUUAUUAUUUACAUGUUAGUUUUAUAAUUUUAUAUAUUUGUUUGUAAAUUAAAUAAUUAUUUUUAUAAUUAUACAAUAUUUAAUUAUUAAAUAUUCACAUAUGGGUUCCAGGCUCGAUAUUUGAGGCCCAGUAGCACCAAGAUAUCCUGAAUUCUUGUAUGUGUUAGUUUUAUUAUUUUACAUGUUAGUUUUAUAAUUUUAUAUAUUUGUUUGUAAAUUAAAUAAUNNNNNNNNNNNNNNNNNNNNNNNNNNNNNNNNNNNNNNNNNNNNNNNNNNNNNNNNNNNNNNNNNNNNNNNNNNNNNNNNNNNNNNNNNNNNNNNNNNNNNNNNNNNNNNNNNNNNNNNNNNNNNNNNNNNNNNNNNNNNNNNNNNNNNNNNNNNNNNNNNNNNNNNNNNNNNNNNNNNNNNNNNNNNNNNNNNNNNNNNNNNNNNNNNNNNNNNNNNNNNNNNNNNNNNNNNNNNNNNNNNNNNNNNNNNNNNNNNNNNNNNNNNNNNNNNNNNNNNNNNNNNNNNNNNNNNNNNNNNNNNNNNNNAAUAUUACUACUAAUUUGAUUAUAAGAAUUUAAUAAAAUAUUUCCAAUAAUUUAAUUCCUGAUAAACUAAACCAACUCUAAAUAUAAAUAAUAUAAAAUACGUAAACGGGCCCCAAACAUCGGGAUGUCACUAAGCCAUGAGUAUCUAAAACUAUAAACUAAGGUAUAUAAACUGUCCAACUGUCCAAAAGAAGAAAUGACAAGAGGAGUAACAAGGUCCUGCGGAUACUAGCAACUACCUUGCAAUCUCUACAGAUAGCUUGCCUGAACGCAACGAUCGUCGCGCUCUAACUCACCUGGAUCUGCACAUAAAGUGCAGGGUGUAGUAUGAGUACUGUCUCACCUCCUUUUUCUACCCCGAAAGGGGUAUAAUGGAGUUUUUUCCAAUUUAAGUGACAAUCGAAACGUGAUUAUCUAUAUUAAAUUCAGAGUCGCCACUUGGGAUAAUUUAUGGUGUCCCAAGUCACCGGUUUAAAAUUCCAAAUCGAGGAAAGUUUUGACUCUAUUUAUGAUCUGCGAACACAAAAAUCCGAGUAAGGAAUUCUGUUAACCCGGGAGAAGGUGUUAGGCAUUCUCGGGUUCCGUGGUUUUAGCACAAUCACUUUAAUCAUACUUGGCUCAAUUAAAUUGUUUAAUUGCGUACUUUAGAACCUAUGUGCAUUUACCUUUUUACCGCUUUUAAUUGCUUGAUUAUUCGUAAUUAUGGAAUUAUCUUAAAACGAGUCACACGUACGUGUACUCAUUUUGUUCAGCGCGUCAAGAAUCAUGUCACGCGUACGUGUACACAAUUAAUCACAUUUUAUUAAUAUUACGAAAAUUUGGCCGAAGUUGCGCGAAUGCAUACUUUGAUUUUAUUUUUAGAAUCGUAAUUAUGUUACGGGAACAUGUACACAAUCACGAUGGUAGAUUAAAAGCGCGCCUAAAGCAUUUCUACGAAUAUUCAUUUUUAGAAAUCAUGGCUAUGUCACGCGAAUGUGUACAUAAUCAUGAUAAUAAAUUCAAAACGUGCCUAAAGCACUCUAACGGUGUUCAUUAUUUUUCCUAAACUUUGAGAUUACUGAGAUGCCAAAUUUAUGGACAAGAAAUUAUUUGCGAAAGACGCUUAGCUAGGUCCCUAAUUAUAAUGUUGCAUGAAAAACAAUAAUUCAUAUAAAUGGUGAAUUACUUCAUUAUCUCAACCAAUUAAUGUAGUCAUAACUCCUAGUAAAAUUCCUUUACUGUGACCAAUGUCACUAAAACGUUGAAAUCAUCAAAAAGCUCUUUCUUUGCUAGAAGGUAUAAUGUGACUUGUUUAUAACUCAUAGAGUAGCUAAUUAAUGUCGGAUAAAAGUUCUACGGCAACAAACAUUAGAAGAAUUUGGAUUUGGAUAUAAAAAGACUCAAUUGAACAAGAAGAUCCUAACUUCAAUCAAAUUAAGCAAAUUACAACAAUAUGAAUAAUAGGAUAAAACAAAACUAUGCCAUUAAUUACGACCCCAAAUUUUGUUUUACCUCAGAAACUCAGAAGAAUUUAGCAAAAAUAAAAAUUAUUUCCUUGAAGUAACAGAAACUUUGAAUUUUUAAGAUAGCUCCAAAGAAACCAAAAAAAAAGAAGAUAAAAAAAUAGAAAUCCCUAGAAAUUCCAAUCAACAAGUAAAUAGGCUCAAAAUAAUAAUGAAACUAAGGGAAUUAAGGAUCAAGUUGAUGGAAUUAUCGGAACAAAAAGGGGGUUAAUUUUACCUCUCUCGACGUGAGCCAUGGGGAGAUGGAGGUGGUGAAUUCAAUAUCAUUGCCGUUCUAGCUUUCUCUUUUGGAUGUGUGCCUGCUAGCUUAGGAAAUUAGGUCUUAGCCUUUUGGGAAUUGGGAAGUCUGCUCUCUUUGAAUUUAGGAAUUAGGAGAUUAUAUAUCAG